rnacentral:hammerhead_ribozyme from 1 species
GCACUGUUGAAGAGUCGUACAAUAGAACGAAACGGUCGUCCAGUGC